GAGACAUUGGGCUCUAAACUCGUGAAUUCCAGCGUGGAAUUCGGAUCCUUGCCAGUCAGGGAUGCUCUCGUUAGCCAUUCAAUUCACAAGAGAGGGGCAGGUGAACAAUAUCACUUGUAACCGUAGAAACAUGCGAAUAAAGCUUAAAUUUUGAGUCUUCAAGGUAGGCUUCCACUGGAGCUGGUGAACCUUCCCUAUCUAUAAGAAAUGUACUGUUCAUGUGCCUUCAAGAACGGUCAUUCCUUAGAAGUGUUACACAAGGUGGAUCCGUCUCUUUCAUUUCUCCGGUUCUCCCCUUCAGUCUUAGCCUGAAUCAAGUGAAUCCGACAUGAAUCAACGCUUUCCCCACCGUUACCUGCUCCUCCAAGGAGUGAAAUUUCCCGAUCCGGCAACCUUCACUUUGUUUCUCUCAAUUUUACUCGCCACAACAGUUCUCCGGUUCCAGUUAACGGCUGACGGAAAGUUCCUGUGGACGGAGGGAUUUCAACAGAAGGAGAUUCUCCAUUUCACUGUGGACAGUAAUAAAAUUAAAAUCACAGCAAUUAUAAGGAAAGAAGAUGGAAUCUACUGUGGUGGGAGAAGUGAUGGUUUAGUGAGGAAGGAUUUUGUUUUAG